AUUGAACGCUGGCGGCAUGCCUUACACAUGCAAGUCGAACGGUAACAGGUCUUCGGAUGCUGACGAGUGGCGAACGGGUGAGUAAUACAUCGGAACGUGCCUAGUAGUGGGGGAUAACUACUCGAAAGAGUGGCUAAUACCGCAUGAGAUCUACGGAUGAAAGCAGGGGAUCGCAAGACCUUGUGCUACUAGAGCGGCCGAUGGCAGAUGAGGUAGUCGGUGGGAUAAAAGCUUACCAAGCCGACGAGCUGUAGCUGGUCUGAGAGGAUGAUCAGCCACACUGGGACUGAGACACGGCCCAGACUCCUACGGGAGGCAGCAGUGGGGAAUUUUGGACAAUGGGCGAAAGCCUGAUCCAGCAAUGCCGCGUGCAGGAUGAAGGCCUUCGGGUUGUAAACUGCUUUUGUACGGAACGAAAAGCUCUGGGUUAAUACCCUGGGGUCAUGACGGUACCGUAAGAAUAAGCACCGGCUAACUACGUGCCAGCCGCCGCCGUAAAAC
rnacentral:rRNA from 1 species